CCUACGGGAGGCAGCAGUGGGGAAUUUUGGACAAUGGGCGCAAGCCUGAUCCAGCAAUGCCGCGUGAGUGAAGAAGGCCUUCGGGUUGUAAAGCUCUUUUGUCAGGGAAGAAACGGUGAGGGCUAAUAUCCUUUGCUAAUGACGGUACCUGAAGAAUAAGCACCGGCUAACUACGUGCCAGCAGCCGCGGUAAUACGUAGGGUGCAAGCGUUAAUCGGAAUUACUGGGCGUAAAGCGUGCGCAGGCGGUUUUGUAAGUUUGUCGUGAAAUCCCCGGGCUCAACCUGGGAAUGGCGAUGAAGACUGCAAGGCUAGAAUCUGGCAGAGGGGGGUAGAAUUCCACGUGUAGCAGUGAAAUGCGUAGAGAUGUGGAGGAACACCGAUGGCGAAGGCAGCCCCCUGGGUCAAGAUUGACGCUCAUGCACGAAAGCGUGGGGAGCAAACAGGAUUAGAUACCCUGGUAGUCCACGCUCUAAACGAUGUCUACUAGUUGUCGGGUUUUAAUUAACUUGGUAACGCAGCUACGCGUGAGUAGACGCCGUGGGAGGUACGGUCGCGAGAUAAACGUACAAGUAAGUAGUAGCGNGNGAGAGCGACGACGACGACGAGGAGGAGGAGG
rnacentral:rRNA from 1 species